rnacentral:rRNA from 1 species
CAGGCGUAGGCGAUGGAUAACAGGUUGAUAUUCCUGUACCACCUAUAAUCGUUUUAAUCGAUGGGGGGACGCAGUAGGAUAGGCGAAGCGUGCGAUUGGAUUGCACGUCUAAGCAGUAAGGCUGGGUAUUAGGCAAAUCCGGUACUCGUUAAGGCUGAGCUGUGAUGGGGAGAAGACAUUGUGUCUUCGAGUCGUUGAUUUCACACUGCCGAGAAAAGCCUCUAGAUAGAAAAUAGGUGCCCGUACCGCAAACCGACACAGGUAGUCAAGAUGAGAAUUCUAAGGUGAGCGAGCGAACUCUCGUUAAGGAACUCGGCAAAAUGACCCCGUAACUUCGGGAGAAGGGGUGCUCUUUAGGGUUAACGCCCAGAAGAGCCGCAGUGAAUAGGCCCAAGCGACUGUUUAUCAAAAACACAGGUCUCUGCUAAACCGUAAGGUGAUGUAUAGGGGCUGACGCCUGCCCGGUGCUGGAAGGUUAAGAGGAGUGGUUAGCUUCUGCGAAGCUACGAAUCGAAGCCCCAGUAAACGGCGGCCGUAACUAUAACGGUCCUAAGGUAGCGAAAUUCCUUGUCGGGUAAGUUCCGACCCGCACGAAAGGCGUAACGAUUUGGGCACUGUCUCAACGAGAGACUCGGUGAAAUCAUAGUACCUGUGAAGAUGCAGGUUACCCGCGACAGGACGGAAAGACCCCGUGGAGCUUUACUGUAGCCUGAUAUUGAAAUUCGGCACAGCUUGUACAGGAUAGGUAGGAGCCUUUGAAACGUGAGCGCUAGCUUACGUGGAGGCGCUGGUGGGAUACUACCCUAGCUGUGUUGGCUUUCUAACCCGCACCACUUAUCGUGGUGGGAGACAGUGUCAGGCGGGCAGUUUGACUGGGGCGGUCGCCUCCUAAAAGGUAACGGAGGCGCUCAAAGGUUCCCUCAGAAUGGUUGGAAAUCAUUCAUAGAGUGUAAAGGCAUAAGGGAGCUUGACUGCGAGACCUACAAGUCGAGCAGGGUCGAAAGACGGACUUAGUGAUCCGGUGGUUCCGCAUGGAAGGGCCAUCGCUCAACGGAUAAAAGCUACCCCGGGGAUAACAGGCUUAUCUCCCCCAAGAGUUCACAUCGACGGGGAGGUUUGGCACCUCGAUGUCGGCUCAUCGCAUCCUGGGGCUGUAGUCGGUCCCAAGGGUUGGGCUGUUCGCCCAUUAAAGCGGUACGCGAGCUGGGUUCAGAACGUCGUGAGACAGUUCGGUCCCUAUCCGUCGUGGGCGUAGGAAAUUUGAGAGGAGCUGUCCUUAGUACGAGAGGACCGGGAUGGACAUACCUCUGGUGUACCAGUUG